rnacentral:rRNA from 1 species
CAGCAGCCCGAGUGGUGGUCGAUUUUAUUGAGCCUAAAGCGUCCGUAGCCGGACUAGUAAACCCUUGGGUAAAUUGGGCAGCUUAACUGUCCAAAUUCCGAGGGGACUGCUAGUCUUGGGACCGGGAGAGGUCAGAGGUACUCAAGGGGUAGGGGCUAAAUCCUGUAAUCCUUUGGGGACCACCAGUGGCGAAGGCGUCUGACUAGAACGGAUCCGACGGUAAGGGACGAAACCCUGGGGCGCGAACCGGAUUAGAUACCCGCGUAGUCC